rnacentral:lncRNA from 1 species
AAUGGCUCCUGCGAAGAGGGUGGUGAGAAGAAAGGCCGUUCUACCAUCAACGAGGUGGUGACCCGAGAAUGCACCAUCAACAAUCCCAAGAGCUUCCUGGAGUGGGCUUCAAGCAGCAUGCCCCUCAGGCACUCACAGAGAUCCAGAAAUUUGCCAUGAAAGAGAUGGGAACUCCAGAUGUGCGCAUUGAUACCAGGCUCAUCAAAGCUGUCUGGGCCAAAGGAAUAAAGAAUGUCCCAUACCUAUCCCUGUGCGGUUGUCCAGGAAACAGAAUGAGGAUGAAGAUUCACCAAACAAGCUCUAUACUUUGGUUACCCACGUGCCUGUUAUCACUUUCAAAAAUCUAUAGACAGUCAGUGUGGAUGAG